rnacentral:rRNA from 1 species
GACGAACGCUGGCGGUGUGCUUAACACAUGCAAGUCGAACGAUGAAGCUGGAGCUUGCUCCGGUGGAUUAGUGGCGAACGGGUGAGUAACACGUGAGCAAUCUGCCCUUCACUCUGGGAUAACUGCGGGAAACUGUAGCUAAUACCGGAUACGAGACCUUGGGGCAUCCCAGGGUCUGGAAAGAAUUUCGGUGAAGGAUGAGCUCGCGGCCUAUCAGCUAGUUGGUGAGGUAAUGGCUAACCAAGGCGACGAGGGGUAGCCGGCCUGAGAGGGUGACCGGCCACACUGGGACUGAGACACGGCCCAGACUCCUACGGGAGGCAGCAGUGGGGAAUAUUGCACAAUGGGCGAAAGCCUGAUGCAGCAACGCCGCGUGAGGGAUGAAGGCCUUCGGGUUGUAAACCUCUUUUAGUAGGGAAGAAGCGCAAGUGACGGUACCUACAGAAAAAGCACCGGCUAACUACGUGCCAGCCGCCGCAGUAA